rnacentral:misc_RNA from 1 species
GCCCUUACCUGCUGACGACCUUUCUGCCUCUUCUCCUGCAAGGGAGGGAAUCAGAACUUCAUCGUCUGAGCUCUUGGACAUGCUACUUCAGGCACCAACGACGAAGCAACAAGCACAAGGUGAGCUCCGCUCUCUGGAGCUCACCGCUUCAGAGUUGUUGAAAUUCCUCUCCAUGCAGGAGACUCCAGGCCCAAACAUUAUGACAGAUGGAACAAGCAGAAGUCAGAGUAUGCAGAACAAGUACACGAAUCAAGCUUUCCAGAGUGUCUCAAUAAAUCAAUG